CAUGCCGUAAACGAUGAGUGCUAAGUGUUAGGGGGUUUCCGCCCCUUAGUGCUGCAGCUAACGCAUUAAGCACUCCGCCUGGGGAGUACGACCGCAAGGUUGAAACUCAAAGGAAUUGACGGGGGCCCGCACAAGCGGUGGAGCAUGUGGUUUAAUUCGAAGCAACGCGAAGAACCUUACCAGGGCUUGACAUCCUACUAAUGAAGCAGAGAUGCAUUAAGUGCCCUUCGGGGAAAGUAGAGACAGGUGG
rnacentral:rRNA from 1 species